AGCGCGGGGGCAACCCUGGCGGCGAGCGGCGAACGGGUGAGUAAUACAUCGGAACGUGUCCAGUAGUGGGGGAUAACCAGUCGAAAGAUUGGCUAAUACCGCAUACGAUCCACGGAUGAAAGCGGGGGACCGCAAGGCCUCGCGCUAUCGGAGCGGCCGAUGUCGGAUUAGCUUGUUGGCGGGGUAAAAGCCCACCAAGGCGACGAUCCGUAGCUGGUCUGAGAGGACGACCAGCCACACUGGAACUGAGACACGGUCCAGACUCCUACGGGAGGCAGCAGUGGGGAAUUUUGGACAAUGGGCGCAAGCCUGAUCCAGCCAUGCCGCGUGAGUGAAGAAGGCCUUCGGGUUGUAAAGCUCUUUCGGCGGGGACGAAACGGUCCGUGACAACACCACGGACUAAUGACGGUACUCGCAGAAGAAGCACCGGCUAACUACGUGCCAGCAGCCGCGGUAAUACGUAGGGUGCAGGCGUUAAUCGGAAUUACUGGGCGUAAAGCGUGCGCAGGCGGCCUCUUAAGUCAGAUGUGAAAUCCCCGGGCUUAACCUGGGAACUGCGUUUGAAACUGGGAGGCUAGAGUGUGGAAGAGGGGGGUGGAAUUCCAGGUGUAGCAGUGAAAUGCGUAGAGAUCUGGAGGAACACCGAUGGCGAAGGCAGCCCCCUGGGCUGACACUGACGCUCAUGCACGAAAGCGUGGGGAGCAAACAGGAUUAGAUACCCUGGUAGUCCACGCCCUAAACGA
rnacentral:rRNA from 1 species